GUGUGCUAGUUGGUCGGCUCAGCAGGAGUAGAACCCAGAGCCUCAGUUCCAGGAUGUUGGGGGGGGGGGGGCAAUGCAGAAUCACCGGAGCUCAGUCCCAGCUGCAGACAUUAUCCUUCAGCCUUAAAGACCCUUUAGCUGGUUCGUUGUUUCGAGGUUACGCUCUCUGCCUUCUGCACAACAGACAACUGCAUAAGCGGUCAGGAGGGAGGCAGUGCUUGGAUGUGUCAGCGACGGCCUGGAGCUGCCCUCUGCCAGGAAUGGGGGGAGCACGGUAGCCCUCUGCCAAGGCUCUGGGUCCACUUUAAUAAGUGACGUAUUAAAAUGUUCUCGCUGGAGGCCACCCCGUCAGUCAAGGCAGGAUCCUCUGCCUGGGAAGACAGAGUCGGCUUUUCCGGAGAGCUCCAUUCAGCAAAAGGGAAUAUCAAUCUUUUAAAUAUACUCUAACAUCGGGGUAAACAUUUGUUGGGAAGGCACUUUGGGGACUGGGCAGAUACCGGAUUAUACAAAGGGCCGAAUAUGUUUGAAGUAUCCGCUUAGGUGGCAAUAAAUAUGGAAAAGGCCAUGACGAGUCCAAGGUGGGGGAGGGCCUCCCUGCAUCCAUCCAGCCACCAGGGCUGCAUUGUUCAAACUUCACUAACUGAAUGCUUGCAAAUAAGCAUGCAUCUCCCUGGAUUCUGCUUCUGUGGCCCAUCCAGGUCGACAGUCCGGAGGAAUAUCCAAAAGCACCUCUAAGGGAGAAAUUGGCAAAUUGAGUUUUAAAAGAAAGAGACUCGAAUGUCACUGGAUUAAAGGAUUAAAUAGGAACUCUUACCUCUCCCCUGCUUAGAGCCUGGCGCAUAAUGAAUAGUAACCACCAAUGAAUGUAUAUCAAGUGCCUACUAUGUGCCAGGCAGUAGACUUUUAGAACCUGGAAAACAGAUCUUGUUGUACGAAGCGUCUUUGUAGAAGUACCCAUUGGGGGUACGGAGGGGGCAGUGGAGGCUUCACUGUGGAGUCUGGGAGCAGUUUGGAGGAGUCCGCUUACCUAUUGUCAUCAGCUCCUCAAAACCCCUGAUAAAUUCAAUCCUAAGUAAAUCUCAAUGCUUGUUUUCCAAAGGCCCUGUUCGGAGAAGUCUACCCCUCUAACCAUGUUGCCAGAAGUCUUUCUUCUCCGGAUGGGGACUUGGAUGGGGACUUGCAGGAUCCCACCUGGGACACCACAUUCCAAUUAGUCAUUGGAUCUCCUUGAGCUCCUCUGGGCCAGCAAAAUUUCUCAGACUUCCCUUGUUUUUGAUGGAGGACUGGUAUUUGGUAGACGGUCCCUUGACUGGGGUUUAUCUGAUGAUUUUCUGGUGAUUCAGCUGGGGUUAUGGGUUUUGGGAAGCACGGAGGUAAAUUGUCCCUCAUUACGUCAUAUCAAGAGCACAUGCUAUCAGCAUGACUUACCACUGUUGCCAUUGACCUUGAUCAUUCAACUGAGGUGGCAUUGGUCAGGUGUCUUACCCUCCCGUCUCCUUCCAUACCGUCCUCUUUGGAAGGAAAUCAUCAUGUGUAGCCCACUUAAGGUGUGGGGAAUUACUCUGUUGGGAGAAUAUCUCCAUAAAUUACUUGGGAUUCUUCUGCUCAGGUCAUGUGAAUGACCCACUUUUUGGCCAUUCAACUCUGCCCUGUGUUGGGCAAGCCUACUGUGGUUUAGAUGUAAUCAUGAAUUCCAGCAAA